GAGGGUGUAGCUCAGUGGUAGAGCACUUGCCCAGCAUGCACAAGGUCCUGGGUUCAAUCCCCAGUACCUCUA
rnacentral:tRNA from 1 species